ACUCCACUUAAGCCUAGCUUAGUGUUGGGAAUCUACGCAAAGGCGUCUACUCUGUAGUCACCUUGUAGUUCCUUAAAGACAGCGGCGGAGUAGUGGUAUCCUCUGAGCUUAGUAAUUUCUUUCUAGCUUUCGAGUAGCCACUGCCCUUGCCGGUAAAACACCCUUCUUCUGAAU
rnacentral:misc_RNA from 1 species